CAUCCAAUGCCACCACUGGGUGACCUCCAUUAUGUUUCUUAACCUCUUUGUGUGCCAAUCACCUCAUCUGGAAAAAUGGGAAUGGAGAAGAGUUGUACCUACCUAGGGUGGUUGCGUAAGCGUUUAAGGAGCAACUUCCUGUGAGACAUGGAGUCCAUGUGUGGCCCAUGGUGGGCUUCCGGAAAUGUGAUGACAGGGAUGAGGGAGCAACGGAGAGCCGGCAGUGAGGUGACGUGCCCAAGGUCACGCCACCAGCAGAAGCAGCUGAUCACGCUGCUGAGAGCUGGCAGGAAAUAGAUGCGGACAAAGCAGGGUUGGUUUUCAGCUUCUGUCCACGGAAAGGCCGGCUGAACUUUCCCUCACCACGCAGAAAUCGAUAAGCAGGAGGUUUUUAAAAACCACCUCCCCAUCGAACCUGCCACCGCCGGAGCUGAAGGCUGCGUGUUUUGUGGUCUGCCCAGCCCCAGGGGCACUUAGGGUGCGUCCACACUGGGUGUGCCAGUCAUGCACUUGGGCUGCAGACGCCCAGGAGGCAGAGCUGAGCCUGCCAAGGUUAUGUGUGCACCUCUCAGCUCCCUGCUUAACACUGCCUUCCCGGGAGAGAGAUUUCUCCCUGGCUGCUUCACAUCCCGAGAAGACCAUCAGCUCUCAGCAGAAAAUAAGGCCCUCUUCACCUGCCAAGUGGGCAACAGCAGUUACUCUCAUUGGAGUCCCUUUCCCUUCGCCACUUCCCAGGCUCCUCCAGACUGAAUGCAUUCAGGGAGUCACCUCCCAGGUCAAAACCUGCUGUGAUACCAUCAAACUGCAGCACAGACCACAGUCCCGAGCCUCCCAUUCUUGUCUCUAACACCAGCCUAGCCUGACCUGCUGCAGGGUGUGGCCUGUGACCACAUCUGCGCUCUGUCCACACUUCUUCGUCCAGCCUCCCAUGACGAUCCCCAGAGCAGCUCCCUGGGAUGCCCUCUUCUCAUCACUGCAUCUGCUGCCCACCCAGGGCCCUCCGACCUUACCCUCCCGCAGGCCCCUCCCAUCUGAGGUGCUCUGGAACGCCUGAGGUGUGAUUGUGCGUGAACUUUGACGUGCCUGCGUCCAUGCUCAAGAGCAGUCUUGCCUGAACCACCUUGUCUCUAAUAAUCAGCAUGAAACUCCUCAGAAGAAACAGAGAGGCCCCUCAGAACAUCACGGAAAAGACGAUGGCUCCAAAACAGCUAGAUUCUAAUUCCACCUCUGCUGCAGGGCGUGGUCCUCAGGAACAUCUGUGCCCCGUGCAUGUGAUGUGACCUCGCAAAAGCAUCCAUUUCCUCAUCUGGAAAACGGGACAAUUCCUGGACUCUGCGCACCUGGAAGUGACCAUGAGGGUCAAAUGAAUGUUUUUGGAACUGCAAACGCUGUUCAGAUGCUGGCGCCAUGACCAAAGACCUGGCUCUUACAUCUGCUCUGUUUUCAUGGGACACAGCCCUGGGUAUACAGUAGGUGCUUAAUGCAGGUGACCAUGAGGAAGGGCUGUAGCCCGUGGAGGGCAGGUGGGUGGGAUUCAGCUGGGGUCCUCAAAGUCUGCACCAUGGGAAAAGCUGACAGGCCCUCCUGCUGGGGCCCAGGCUGGGAGCCAGAGCCCCUCCUUUGGCCACUCUGUAGUGGAAGAACAAGGAGCACAUAGGAGGAGUGGCCCAGGCUCUCCAUUUGAGGACAUUUGAAGGGGACGAAAGGCCCUAGAAGCACUGGCAGAGCCUGAACGUGGCACUGUAGCCUCCUGCCAGCUGGAAAUGUGUCUGGGCAGUGUGUCUUAGCAUGGAAUCCACAACCAGCCAGCCUGGGGAGGGGAUGGGGCCUGGACCCCUGGCUGUACAGACGGAGAGCCAGAGGUGGUUGCAGGUUCCUAACCGACAGUGGAUCUGAUGAGGGGCCCGGCUUUCAUUUGUUGACAGGAGACGCAUGUCUGAGGCCAGAGCCAACUUCUUCCAGGGAACGGCUAAGAACCCCCGGGGGCGCUUCCUUCCUCCUCAAAGGACACAUGGGACGCAGAUGUACAGGAGGAUAGAGAGGGCUCAAGUGGUGAGCUGUGCAGGGGUCCUCACGCCCCAGCCCAGUCUUGGAUAUGGGGCUGGAGACUUAGGAAGUGAGUGCUGGGGUCCUGGGGUUCCUGCCUUCAGGAAGAUCUGAAGGAGCUUCCUGCAGGCCUUUCUUCGCAGUAUUCAUCCCAAACCCCGAAGCCUCCUUCCCCUGGCUCCAUGGUAGGAGCGGUUGCAUUCCCCUGUCUGAGAGGGGCCACCUCCUUCCUACCUGCUCAGGCUGGGCAGGGCUCAGGCUGAGGUCCAGACCCUCAUGCUAGCUUGGUGCUUGGCCAGAGCUGCAAAAUUGCAGCUGGGCUGCCUGCAGGAGGGCACCACUGAGGCUUUCUAGGCCCAGACAGGCCGAGAGAGUCCCUACCCUCCACCCCAGCCCCACCCUCCUCCUGAGGCCCCUGUCAUGGGUGUGGGUGACUCAAGAGGAGGUUCUGGUUUCUGUCUGAUUUUGCAGCUGAGGCAACCUGAUCCUGAAACAAUGACAAGCCUCAGAACGGUCCUUCCCACGCCCUCAGAGGAGCGUUUCAGGCCGGCCAAUAACACAGCAGAACGGAAAAUGACGUUGGGAGGGAAAGGUCAGGCGGCUAGGUCUCCCAUGGAAGGCAGCAGAUGGUUGCUCAGGCCAGAGGGCCAAGUGGUGCGAUCUGUGGGCACCGGCAGCUGGCAGUGACCCUGUAGAUCAACCUGGGUCCAGGCUGCAGACACCGAGCAGGGGCACCUGCCUGGCCUGGCUGCCUCAUGUGGUCCCCACAGCCUUGGCCGGGACACCUCAGGACCGUGGCCUGGCCUCUAGGCCAGCAGGCCAGCUCAGGGUACUAAAGCCUAAUUUACCUGGAGCCCUGGGCCACUCAUGGACACAGGAGGAAGGAGUGGGGUAGAGGUGGCAGAGGGAGAGCAAAGCCCAGCACACAGCAUUUGGCACCACAACCUAGGCAGCUGCUUUCCUUACAGAGCUGCCACUGACAGGAUCAGCACUUACAGAGCCCCUGCUGUAUGCCAGGAAGUACAUUUAUUAUUGCUUCUUGUCACAUUGGCCCUGCCAGGUAUGUACCCCAAACAUAAGCCCCAUUUCACAAAUAAAAAAGUUGAGGCUUCUGUGAUUAAGUAGAGG
ensembl:lncRNA